rnacentral:rRNA from 1 species
GACAGAGGCCUCGAGCGUUAGGCGGAAUCACUGGGCUCAAAGCGUGUGUAGGCGGAUCGUUAAGUACCUUGUGAAAUCCCACGGCUCAACCGUGGAACGGCUGGGUAUACUGGCGGUCUUGGGCCAUUCAGGGGCGACUGGAACAAGCGGUGGAGCGGUGAAAUGCGUAGAUAUCGCUUGGAACGCCGAAGGUGAAAACAGGUCGCUGGGGAUGUGCCGACGCUGAGACACGAAAGCCAGGGGAGCAAACGGG